UGACGUUACCCGCACAUGCACUUGACGUUUUAUUAUUGAUCGUAAUGCGUCAAACAGGCAAUUGUGGCUGCAGAUUUUUUGAUUAUUAAAUAAUGUAUGUGCAAUCGCAUCGUGUGAAAGACUCUAACAGAGGAUUACCACGAUUGUUAAAAGUUUCAUUAUCACCCAGGAGGAGAAGGAAAAUGUGUAUGAUGGACGUUUUGUUUGCAAGUAACUACGAAGCAAUACAUCAAAAACACUGCGUUUAUGAAAACGAAAAAUACUUGUCGAUCCCCGGCGAAUUGAAGUUUCUCAUCGUUGUUGACAUCGAGCCCAGGAGAAAAUAGUGUGUAUAUACACUACUUUAUCAAAUAAAAAAAUGACUUUAACAGGCAAGGUAUCUCAUAAAUAAAUAUUGACAGCUGAAUAAAGAUGCCGGUGAGAUUUUCUCCUUUGGUAGCAAUACGGAA